rnacentral:tRNA from 1 species
GGGGGGUUGGCGCAAUGGUAGCGCGUUCGCCUCCAGAGCGAAAGGCUGGGCGUUCGAGCCGCUCACUCCCCA